rnacentral:rRNA from 1 species
UACGUAGGGGGCUAGCGUUGUCCGGAAUCAUUGGGCGUAAAGCGCGUGUAGGCGGUCCGGUAAGUCCGCUGUGAAAGUCGGGGGGCUCAACCCUCGGAUGCCGGUGGAUACUGUCGGGCUUGAGUACGGAAGAGGCGAGUGGAAUUCCUGGUGUAGCGGUGAAAUGCGCAGAUAUCAGGAGGAACACCAAUUGCGAAGGCAGCUCGCUGGGACGUUACUGACGCUGAGACGCGAAAGCGUGGGGGAGCAAACAGG